rnacentral:rRNA from 1 species
AUUGAACGCUGGCGGCAUGCCUUACACAUGCAAGUCGAACGGUAACGCGGGGCAACCUGGCGACGAGUGGCGAACGGGUGAGUAAUGCAAUCGGAACGUGCCUGGUAGUGGGGGGAUAACUGCUCGAAAGAGCAGCUAAUACCGCAUACGACCUGAGGGUGAAAGGGGGGGAUCGCAAGACCUCUCGCUAUCAGAGCGGCCGAUGUCGGAUUAGCUAGUUGGUGGGGUAAAGGCCCACCAAGGCGACGAUCCGUAGCUGGUCUGAGAGGGCGACCGGCCACACUGGGACUGAGACACGGCCCAGACUCCUACGGGAGGCAGCAGUGGGGAAUAUUGGGCAAUGGAGGAAACUCUGACCCAGCGACGCCGCGUGAGGGAUGAAGGCCUUCGGGUUGUAAACCUCUUUCAGUAGGGAAGAAGCGAAAGUGACGGUACCUACAGAAGAAGCACCGGCUAACUAUGUG